GUUAACGCCAAUCGCGCGCCGGCGCAGAAAACCGGUCCCGCAAACUGGACGCCGCGCUGCCCGCCGCCCGCCGACCGACGACGAUAACGCCCUCGGCUCCACUCGCCACUCGCCGCAAACCGCCGGGCACGACGCACGUACCCUAGCCUACUCAUAUCAUUUGUAAAUUUUACGUCAUCAAGUAAAUCUUUGUAACCGCAAGAAGUCUUGAUCAUUUCACGACCCUGGAACCUGGUUAGCCGAAGAAGAUUCCCGCCAUUUUUGGUCCUUCGAGCCGGAUUCAAAUCACACCGACGUGGACGCGCGACCUUUGGACUCCGGGAAAGUGGCUCGACGGCAACCUACAACGGACGCGAACGGUUCCAGAACUUCCAGCACACGAAGGCGCAGUCAUCAAGUGGCAAUUCAGGGCAGUGCAAAUCCGAUUUUCCUUUACUUUCCUUCCCUUUAUUGUCCGCUUUGCAUACACGGACCUUAAUUACGUGUAAAAUAUUUCUCGAAUACCUACAUUACAAAUAUUCUUCUCUUUCGCUUCAAUUCUUCACUUUCAUUAAUUAUUACAUUUAUAAAUCUGUCUACACGGACUUUAAUUACGUGUUUAUCAGUUUUUAUUCAAAUUUGCAUACCGUUAAACACUAUUUGCCGUGUGGUGACGGCAGAGUAGAAUACAUUUGUCACCAACCCUACUCUUCCCGCGGGUGUCGUAAAAGGCGACUUAGGGACAAACAUCAAUCGUUUAAACUGCGAUCUCCAACAUCAAUCAACAUUUAAAUACAUUCCCUUUAUUCAUACCUACCUAUACGCGGACCUUAAUUACGUGUUGGGUUUUUUAAACAUUAUUUCACAUUAUUUAUUUCUCGCAUUCCAGCGCACACGCAGCCAAAUCGUGCGUUUGCAACGCUCGUUAUACCUACCCACCGGUGCCUGCCUACGUACCUACGCUUGCGCCUAACGGUCGGUCAGCUGAUUGCACCGCCAAGCUUGCGCUGUUUCAUUGCCUUCUUCACUGCACAUUACGCUUUAAGUAUUCGUUCCAUUGUCAUCACUUUAUUUUGCACUCAUUAAUAUUAUCGAAAACUUUAAACUUAGUUUGUAAUUAUCAUUAAAUUUAAUUUACAUCAUGAGUAAGUUAACUGAAUUGAAAAGGAAACGUAGUUCCUAUAAAUCCAAGCUUACGCAAUUUAAAACAUACUUUUCACGAAUUUCUACUUGCGAAAAGCCUAAUCCUGUACAAAUUAGCGAUUUAAACUUAAGAUUAGCUAAAAUUGAAGAAUGGUACAGUGAAUAUGACGCGUUGCAGAUUGAAAUCGAAAGUUGUUUGGAAAUUUCAGACGUUGACUGCGAAAAGGAGUACAAAUAUCGCGAGGAGCUUGAAAGCGAGUACUUCGCGGUGGUCGGCAGCGCGCGCGAGUGGGUAAGCAGGUUGACCUCUGCGCAGCACGACGAGGGCGCGUCGGCCUCUUCCGCGGCAGCUGUGAGAGCAGUACACCUGGAAUUGGUAACCGAGUUAAGUACUGAAGCAUUUUUGGCUGCUUUAAAUCGAUUUGUAGCUCGCAGAGAUGGAUCUGGAAGAAACGACCAGAAUAUGCGCCCUGCCUCGAUAUCGGAGAGCUCAGAUCCUGACUCAGCACUUCUGGAAUAGAUACUACAUGGAAUAUAUUUCAGAUUUACAAAAGAGGCUGAAAUGGAAGCGCAGCAAUGGAGGAGAAUUGCGCACUGGAGACCUGGUGGUGGUAAAGGACGACCGGCUACCACCUAACCGCUGGCUGCUCGGACGUGUCACCCGCCUCUACCCUGGCUGCGAUGGCAUCGCACGCGUAGCAGACGUCACCACCGCAACUGGAGUGCUGAGAAGAGCAUACAAUAGAUUAUGCUUGCUGCCAACCGAGGAUAUUUUGGAACUAGACGUUCCAACCCGGGGAACUUGUUAACGCCAAUCGCGCGCCGGCGCAGAAAACCGGUCCCGCAAACUGGACGCCGCGCUGCCCGCCGCCCGCCGACCGACGACGAUAACGCCCUCGGCUCCACUCGCCACUCGCCGCAAACCGCCGGGCACGACGCACGUACCCUAGCCUACUCAUAUCAUUUGUAAAUUUUACGUCAUCAAGUAAAUCUUUGUAACCGCAAGAAGUCUUGAUCAUUUCACGACCCUGGAACCUGGUUAGCCGAAGAAGAUUC